UUUAUAUUUUGAACAAAUGGGUUAAUUUAUUUUGGUCGCUUUGGUGCAUUUCUAUUGAUUUUGAUUUUCAAAAUAGUCCAUUUUUAUAUGUGCAUGUCUUCAUUGUGUGACAAUCAGAUAUGACAUAUAAUCGGCAGUAUCACGCGGAGGCUGGGGAGGAGCCAGCAAAAUUCCACUUAAAGUUUGCUCGUUAAUUUUGGAAUAACGGAGGGUUUUGGGAAACUCGCGGAUCUCACUCGUUCUUUACUUACCUCGUUUGUUAUUCGCUAAGAUCGAUCGCUUUCGGGAAACGCGCCCCUGGUUUGAACAGCUGCGGUCCUCUGCUUACCAGCCCAUCUGAGAAGAUGAAACUCACCUGCAUCGUCCUUCUUCUUCUUGGAGCUCUGGUCUCCCUGAGCUUCUCUAACAACGGUGACAACAAUCUACCAAGUAAAUGCUGCCAAAAAUACUUCGAAGGGCGAGUUCCAGCAGCAGCAGUGACAUCCUGUGAAGAAACAGAUAACAGAUGCGGCUUGGAUGCUGUACUGUCAUCAGUCUUCGUUGGACAAACAUGUCACAUCUUACAAGCUAAUGGCCUUUGAAGAAACCUUAAGAGAAGUGUUCAUUAUAGUAUACUGUAUGUGUGCCCUGUGAUGGGUUGGUGCCCCAUCCUGGGCUGUUCCCUGCUUUGCGCCAGUAGCCUCUGGGAUGGACUCCAAACCCACCACCACCCUGAAUAAGAGAAGUUACAGAAAAAGGAUGGAUGGAUGGAUGGCUUAUAUCUCCAAACUGUCAUCUCUUUCAAGCAAUACCCAACCCCCACCUCCGGUCCCCCGAAGAUCCAUUAUUCACGGCAGCCGGUUCAAUACGCAAGUUCAUCAAAGUCCCUGCCGCCCCCCCCCCCACACACCUCGACAGGCAUCCAAGAUCAAAAUAUCCCCUGGAGUCGUCCUCCCCCAGCAGAGUGCUACGUCCCCGAAAUCCUGAAGACUCCAUCUUCAGCUUCUGACACAUCUUCAGAAAAAAAAUAAUAAUUCAGAGAUUGAACAGUUAUUUCAUUAUGAAUACGGCAUGGGUGCAACAGCUCUCGUCUGCGUUAGACAAUCCCCUUAUCACGCUGAGAAGCUGAUUAGCACUCAUGCCUGAAAGGGUUAGAACUAUCUAAUUAUUUUAAGCCAAUGGCUACAGUCAUCUGGUUGAAAGGCUGCAGUUCCCAUUCAAAUGAAAACUGCCUCUGAAACAACAAGCCUCGUAUGUCAUUUGAGAGAAAGAACUGAUUGACUGACAAUGCCGAAAAUAUAUAAAUUAUGAAACACAUCAGCAUCAGUCUGGCAUUAUAUAUUUGUUAAUUCAAUCUUAUUUUCAACCAUCAAUUACCUUCAUCUUUGCCCUGUAAACCCGAUUAUCACCAAGGGCACAAUAUUCAUUUAGAUCAAAGUCAUCCCUUUACCCAAAAGGCAAGGAUGCUAUUUUGUAUUUGUAAAGAUAGUUGUAAUGCUUGUGAAGAAGGACAAAACUUAUUUAGAUAUACAUACAGUGAUUUUGGGGUUUGAGCUGCCAUUUUGGGUUAGGCUUCAAAUAAGAAGUUAAUAAGAAGUUAUUGAACAUGAUCAGAUGGAUCUGGGGCUUCUUCAGCUGCCCCUGCCCGUGCUUUGAGGAAAGCCCACGCCUAUGUCUGCUGCCAAGGGAAGAGGUAUCUGAAAUCAAUGCAGCAGCUUCCGCUUUUCAAGGCACCAGAUGGUGGUGAGUGUGAGCGAGCCUUUGGCGGUGGAGUCUAGCAUUUCAGCUCUCCAGAUGAUUCAGUCGUAUGCAACAGCUUCAGUUUGUGUUCCGGCAGAAAAACUUACCUUCCUUCUUUAUUGCACAAUCAGAGCAUGAGCUAAGCUACUGUACAUCACGGCCAUUGUCAGGCUUAACCUGUACAAGCUCAGUAAACCUUCCUGUGCUUUCAGCCCAGCAGUAGCGAGAAUAGUCUGCUGGUUCCCUGUCGGGUUUCCUAGUGAUAAUCUCCCCGUCUGAAACAGCUGACCAGGUCAGGCAACUGUCAGCCCCUACAACGUCUAAUGUGAGCCUUGUGAAAGUCUUAUGAAUGUUCUAGUGAAUCAAUUUUUAUCAUCCAUCAUCCAUCCAUCCAUGCGUCCACCCAACCAUCCAUCAUCCUCCAUUCAUCCAUCCAUCCAUUCAUCAUCAUCCUCCCAAUCCACCCAUCGAUCUAUCUAUCGAUCUAUCUAUCUAUCUAUCUCUCUGUCCAUCCGUCCGUCCGUCUUUCUGCUUUAUAAAACAUCUUCCCACAUCUUCCCACCUCGGGGCCUCCACAGGCGACAGGGAUAAGAGGCUCAGGCAGGUGCCUUGUGCUGGAGCAGCCCGGAAGGUUCUGUUCUUAUCCAUUGUUCCAUGCGAUGCAGGGGGUGCGGUUGCAGUUUAAUAGUUUAUGUCACACUCACACAAUAAGCCACCGUAAAGGGACAGAAGUCGAACAGUUGCCAAGGGAACAUGCUACUCUAAUAUCAUACAAUGUCAUGCUGUGUGUAUAUGUGGGUAUUUGUUAUUCAUGAUUUUGUUACUUAGGCAAAGAUGCAUUGUAGCUCAUAAUUUUACAGAAUGACCUUCAAUUAUAUAUUAUAUAAGAUGAUUUUUCACUCAUGCAUUUUUGUUUAAAUAUCAAGGCACACCAGGAUCGACGUCCUAAUCGUAAAGAAAAAAUACUGGCCUCUAGUCCCUAAAGUAUAAAAUAGUUUUUAAAAUAAAGUUUAUGUUAUAACAGAAAGGCUAUAGCUCAUUAGCAUUUGUUUCCAGUAAUUAGCCGCGUGCCACAAAUGAACAUGCAGCUCAUCCAAACUUCAGAAACUCUCAGUGGAAUAUAUUACGGUUUUUUCUGUCUUGUCUUUUUGGAUCAGAUACGGAGCAAAAUCAAAAAAAAAAAACAAACUACCGCAUGUUAACCACUUCUGUCAAGUCCUACUCAUCGUUGCUAAGCGACCUGGUAGCGAUAAAGAGUGACUUAAUCUUUUUUGUGUUGGAGGGGGGGGGGGUUGAUUUAUGAAUAUUUUUCCUGCACCAGUAAUUGAGUCUUCCCUGUUAUUCAUCAUGGGAAUCACGUCAUGUCAAGGGACGUCUCCUGAGACAUAUAAUUCCAAAUGGCAAAUUGCUAAUGUCACAGUUAUUGUUAAGAGCUUUUAUUAGCAAAGGGGGGAGGAAGGGAAUUAAUUUGUACCACAGUAGUAUAGGCUAUUUCAAAAGGAGUAUUUAAAAUAAACAUAACUAUUUAGCAUGA